GUGUGAAGGUCCCAUGUGUGGAAAUGUCACAAAGGACAUAGUCACACAGGGCACAAAGACUUCCGGGAACGGAAAUACUUUUGAAGGCUGGUGACAGAGGACCAGAUGGAGGACUCCAUGCCCCCAGAAGAUGCUGGAACCACUAGACAAGAGGAGCCUCAGUCUGUGAAUGGCUUGGUGGAUCAGGCCUCUUCCAGCCUCCAUCGGACUGUGACAUGAACAACAUUAUUUUGAUGAGACAGAACCAAGAUGGAGUGAUCUCAAAAUGGGCAGUCUGGACAGCAAUCUGGACACUGUAUCAGAUCCUUGGACACAGGACAAGGAAGAGAUCUCCCAACUAGAACACAUUUUAUUGAUGAAUUCUAGUUCACGAGCCUGUGUUCACUUGCAGAGAAGGGUCUCUGUCUUGAACUAAAACACCCUACAGUCAGGUAACCUGUAACUUAUAUGUGAAAAUGACCAGGGCACUUUCAAGAAUGAAGGGGACAUAAUUACACUGGCUUAACUGGCAUAAACAGGAAUUGUGCCAGGCGAACCAGGACAUUUGGUGGCCAUAUCCAUAAGAGACAUUGUGAUUGAUGCUCCAACCUCCAUACCACCCCACAUGGUUAUUCUAAGAUAGAGGUCCUCAAAGUGUGGUCCCAGACCAGCAGUACUAUCAUCACAUGGUAACUUGUUAGAAACAUAAAUGCCAAUCCUGGACCUACUCUGAGAAACUCUGAGGUAGGUCAAGAUAGCAAUGUGUGUUUUCACAAGCCCUCCAGGUGAGCUGAACGCAGGCUAAAGUUUGAGACCCACUGGUGUAAGCCAAUCAUACUAUUCCAUUUCCUUCAUCAGUGAUGGGCUUAGGAACGGGCAGCCCUAAAGUCAGUCUGAGCCAGUGAAGUACAAAGAGGGGCAAGUUUGAGAUUUCUGAGAAGGAUAAAUCAGUCUCUCUUUUGUUGGGUGUAAACAAGGGAAUAUAGUACCUGACUGUGAAAGGUAAGGUUGUGAACUGUAGAGCAGAGACAUGAAAAGAACCUGGCACUGUUUGGUUGCUGGAUCCACCCAUCCAGAAGCCCAUCCCACCUCUGGACUAUGUGAAAGAAUU